rnacentral:rRNA from 2 species
UUAAGUGACGAUAGCCUAGGAGAUACACCUGUACCCAUGCCGAACACAGUAGUUAAGCCCUAGAACGCCUGAAGUAGUUGGGGGUUGCCCCCUGUUAGAUACGGUAGUUGCUUAGC